rnacentral:rRNA from 1 species
UGGCGAACGGGUGAGUAACGCGUGAGUAACCUGCCCUAGAGUGGGGGACAACAGUUGGAAACGACUGCUAAUACCGCAUAAGCCCACGGUACCGCAUGGUACUGAGGGAAAAGGAUUUAUUCGCUUUAGGAUGGACUCGCGUCCAAUUAGCUAGUUGGUGAGGUAACGGCCCACCAAGGCGACGAUUGGUAGCCGGACUGAGAGGUUGAACGGCCACAUUGGGACUGAGACACGGCCCAG